CAGUGCUCAAUUUGCUGAUCAAGACUACAACAGAUCAGUCAUUACAAUAGUGGCUUCUGUUGAUAAGUUGGGCAGUUCUGUUCUGGCUGCUUUCUUGGAGGCCUUCCAUGCUAUUGAUACGGAGGUUCAAGGGGGAUCCACCCUUGCCUGGGUGCAGUGGACCUGAUCCCCAUUUUCCCUCUCUCUGGUGUGGGAGUGGAAGAGUGCGGAGCAGUGACCAGAAGCCUUGCUGCGGAUCUGGUUCUGCACGUACCUGGCUGUAGUGUGUUUCUCUUCGGUGAAGCUGACCUGCCUGAGAAGCGCAGUCCUGUCCAGAGAAGGAAGCAACUGGGCUGGUUCACAGGGCGGGAUUUCAGUGCUCUUAGCCUGACUUG
rnacentral:lncRNA from 1 species